CCUACGGGGGGCAGCAGUGGGGAAUAUUGGACAAUGGGCGAAAGCCUGAUCCAGCCAUGCCGCGUGUGUGAAGAAGGCCUUCGGGUUGUAAAGCACUUUCAGUGGGGAAGAAAGCCUUGGGGCUAAUACCCUCGAGGAAGGACAUCACCCACAGAAGAAGCACCGGCUAACUCCGUGCCAGCAGCCGCGGUAAUACGGAGGGUGCGAGCGUUAAUCGGAAUUACCGGGCGUAAAGCGCGCGUAGGCGGUCUGAUAAGCCGGUUGUGAAAGCCCCGGGCUCAACCUGGGAACGGCAUCCGGAACUGUCAGGCUAGAGUGCAGGAGAGGAAGGUAGAAUUCCCGGUGUAGCGGUGAAAUGCGUAGAGAUCGGGAGGAAUACCAGUGGCGAAGGCGGCCUUCUGGACUGACACUGACGCUGAGGUGCGAAAGCGUGGGUAGCAAACAGGAUUAGAUACCCCAGUAGUC
rnacentral:rRNA from 1 species